rnacentral:rRNA from 1 species
UGGGGAAUAUUGCACAAUGGGCGCAAGCCUGAUGCAGCAACGCCGCGUGAGGGAUGACGGCCUUCGGGUUGUAAACCUCUUUUAGCAGGGAAGAAGCGAAAAGUGACGGUACCUGCAGAAAAAGCGCCGGCUAACUACGUGCCAGCAGCCGCGGUAAUACGUAGGGCGCAAGCGUUAUCCGGAAUUAUUGGGCGUAAAGAGCUCGUAGGCGGUUUGUCGCGUCUGCUGUGAAAUCCCGAGGCUCAACCUCGGGUCUGCAGUGGGUACGGGCAGACUAGAGUGCGGUAGGGGAGAUUGGAAUUCCUGGUGUAGCGGUGGAAUGCGCAGAUAUCAGGAGGAACACCGAUGGCGAAGGCAGAUCUCUGGGCCGUAACUGACGCUGAGGAGCGAAAGGGUGGGGAGCAAACAGGCUUACAUACCCUGGUAGUCCACCCCGUAAACGUUGGGAACUAGUUGUGGGGUCCAUUCCACGGAUUCCGUGACGCAGCUAACGCAUUAAGUUCCCCGCCUGGGGAGUACGGCCGCAAGGCU